UGGGGAAUCUUCCGCAAUGGACGAAAGUCUGACGGAGCAACGCCGCGUGAGUGAAGACGGCCUUCGGGUUGUAAAGCUCUGUGAUCCGGGACGAAAGAGCCUGAGGUGAAUAGCCUAAGGAAGUGACGGUACCGGAAAAGCAAGCCACGGCUAACUACGUGCCAGCAGCCGCGGUAAUACGUAGGUGGCAAGCGUUGUCCGGAAUUAUUGGGCGUAAAGCGCGCGCAGGCGGCUUCCUAAGUCCAUCUUAAAAGUGCGGGGCUUAACCCCGUGAUGGGAUGGAAACUGAGAAGCUGGAGUAUCGGAGAGGAAAGUGGAAUUCCUAGUGUAGCGGUGAAAUGCGUAGAGAUUAAGAAGAACACCGGUGGCGAAGGCGACUUUCUGGACGAAAACUGACGCUGAGACGCGAAAGCGUGGGGAGCAAGCAGG
rnacentral:rRNA from 1 species